UUCAGCCCCUCCUCUUUCUCUUCUCAAUAUGUUUGGAUGGUUCCUCCCAGCGUACUCCAGCCCCAGCCCCUUGAAUAUUCAGGACCAGAUGCUUCAUGAUUAACUCAGCCUGCUUCCCAGCAUCUCAUAGAUUUAGAUAGAGGACAGACACACAGACAACGAUAGAUAAGUGGUAAAUGAAAGACUGAGAUAGAGAUAGAUAGUGGAUAAAUAAAAGCUAAAAAUAGAUAGAUGAUAAAUAAGAGGAAGAUAAAGAGAGCGAUUGGAAGGGACUGGCUUAUGUGAUUGAAGGCUGUCAAAAAAGCCACCAGGGAGGACAGAUUGGAAGUUGCUUUGGGAAGGUGUUAUGCUUCUUUCCAAAGCUCUGGAAGUCCUUGGUUCAUGGAGUGAGAAGAUAACCCAGAGCUGUAUGAAAAGUGAAGAAGGAUGUCACCUUUUCACAUUGACUUGUUCUCAGUGCAGGCUGUCAAAACCCACGAAGAUGUGCUCCAAGGGAGUGAGCAGGGACAGAAACAGCUCUAGAAACACAGAGUGACUUCUCUUGAGCUACAUGGAAAGGAAACUGCACCAGCACCCGGGAAUCCUGCAGAGAAGUGGAAAUUAGAAUCCAGAAAAAAUUCAUGAAAACAGACUAAACCUCAGCCCAGAAUGUAUCACUUCUGACCAGACAUCGGAAUUUACACAGGCCACAGCUCCUGAUCCAAGUUACAUACAUCCCAUCAACAUGUUUAUUCACAUUGAGAGAGGCUCCUCUCCAGUUGGCGCCUGAGUUGUCACAGCAACAAGAAAAGAUGAGGAAAGUUCUGAGAAGCAACUAGAGGCCAAGAAAAGGGGAGCUGGCUGUGAAAGCUGUGGUACUGACAAAGCCUGGUCCCACUGUGGAUCCCAAAACCAUCCGUGCCAGGAGGAUCCCAUGACCCAGAAAGCCAAGAGGGAACCAAGCUUCUGGAAAGAGGCAAGCACUCUGUUGACUAAUUCAUUCAAACUGUAUGAUUAAUGUCUAACAGGCGUCAAAGACAAGGUGAGCCCGAGUCGUAGGAAAACAAGGGUUCAGAUGUGACUUCUCCAGAGGAAAGAUGACUCAAGCCCUAACUGCCCGAUUCUAUGUUCCAAGCUGAAAUUCAUAGCUUAUAAGAUUAUGAUUUUCUUGCGAACCACAUGGCUGUCAAUCCACAACCAGGAUCUUGUGCCCUAUGUCUAUCAAGGAGCCAAGAGUUGCUUGGCUGUCAGAGAGCCGGGCCAUCACUCAGUAGAGAUCAACUGAAUAUUUCAUCAGCACCUCUUAACAUUUUACCCUUCAUUAUCCUGGGAUGGGUUUUAUUCAAACAUCCCUUCCACAGCUCAAUACAUAUGCACACAAAAACUAAAGAGCUUAGCUUUCCAUGAAGAGGCAGUGUAAACAUCUGGCAGGCUUCCUGGGUCUCGGCUUCCUCUGGCUGGGUCUAAGUGCACAAUGUGAGUGUAUUUGGAUUGCAACAGAGGAGGCUCUGCUAGACAUUACUCACCCUGUGCAAAAGCAAACCAGCCCCCAAAUGGAGGGAUAAAAACACAGGUGCUCUUGUUUGAUGACCAAAACUAAACAAAUCAUUUGAGGUUUGGGGUUCAAAAACAUCUUUCAAAGAUGCAGUUCCCACAUAUUCAGUUUGGAUAUAUGUGUGGAUGCCUGCAUGCAUGUAUUUGUGUGUGUGUGUGUGUGUGUGUGUGUUCACUUAAAUGUCUGAAGAUACAAAUAUAAAUUUCUGAAAAAAAAUUACUAAAUGUGGAGGGAAAUUGACUUUUUAUCAGUGUUUUUGUGGCAGAUUGAAUGAGAAUGGUCUCCAUAGGCUGAUAUAUUUGCAUGUGGUAUAUAGACCAGACUGCCUUGAACUCACACCUACCUCUAUAAUGCUGGGAAUUUAGGUAUGCACCACUAUACCCUGAUGAAAAUUGCCUUUAAAAAAAGUUCAUCAUGUGAAAUGAGUCAAACUCUGAUGUGGAUCUCCUAUAUGAAAUUACAUUAGAGAGAAUCAUUGAGCCGGUCAAGUUUUCAGCAUCAUCUGAGUAAUCUAAGAAUCAUUAAUUCAUAAACAAUCAAUUUCUCAUUUGCAAAAUAACAAUAAUACUAGGAUACUGUAAACUUGCCUUUAGUGAGGAUGGGUUUACAAAAUGAUGUUGAAGCUUUAUAAACUGUAGAGUACUAUACAAAGGUCAGAGGUUUGUUCAUUGCUAAUUUCCUUGACAAGUCUCAUAUCCCAUGGUGGCACCUUUCCCUCCAUGACUCAUCCCAACCAAUCUCAUGCAACUUCUUGGCAUUCCAGAUACCCCAGGAAGAUCUCCUCACCACAGGCAUCCCCUUCCUCCAAGCACUAUAGCUUUGAUAAAAAUAUGUGUAUCAGAUGGGGUUUAUUAUGAAGGAGGGAAUGAAGGAAUUUGAGACAGUCAGAUUCAAAAAACACAAGUCAAAUAGCAGCUUUCAAACCUGACUAGGUUUAUAUUGAAAGAGAAGCAGGAAAAGACGUCUUUCCUCUGUAGCACCUUGAAGGAGGUGGGAAGAGGAAGUCUAGAGUAAGCAGGUAUAUAACAAAUAAUGCAGGAGCCGAGGAUGAGCAGAAUGGCAUGCACAGGGCAGCUUGAUCAACACUGGGCUCUCUGACAGCAGCCAAUUAAA